AACCUGGUUGAUCCUGCCAGUAGUCAUAUGCUUGUCUCAAAGAUUAAGCCAUGCAUGUCUAAGUAUAAGCGACUUGUACUGUGAAACUGCGAAUGGCUCAUUAAAUCAGUUAUGGUUUAUUUGAUGGUACCUUACUACUUGGAUAACCGUAGUAAUUCUAGAGCUAAUACAUGCAGGAGGUCCCGACUUCGGAAGGGAUGUAUUUAUUAGAUAAGAAACCAAUCCGGCUUGCCGGUUGCGUGCUGAGUCACAAUAACUGCUCGAAUCGAAUGGCCUUGCGCCGUCGAUGGUUCAUUCAAAUUUCUGCCCUAUCAGCUUUCGAUGGUAGGAUCGAGGCCUACCAUGGCGUUUACGGGUAACGGAGAAUUAGGGUUCGAUUCCGGAGAGGGAGCCUGAGAAAUGGCUACCACAUCCAAGGAAGGCAGCAGGCGCGUAAAUUGCCCGAAUCCUGACACAGGGAGGUAGUGACAAGAAAUAACAAUACAGGGCUACUUUAGUCUUGUAAUUGGAAUGAGUACAAUUUACAUCUCUUCACGAGGAUCAAUUGGAGGGCAAGUCUGGU
rnacentral:rRNA from 1 species